AGAACAGAGAGAUGGAUAGAGAUUGUGGGGGGGGGGGGGACAAUACAUUUCUGUUUAAGCCACCUGAUUUGUGGCAUUUUGUUAUGGUGGCCAUAGCAAACUAAUACAGCAUAUAAAAAGAGCAGAGGCUUUGGAGAAUGACUUGCUUGAUUUGAAUCACAGCUCUACUUAGUUGCUUCCCUUCAGUUAGCAACCACAGAACCUUGGGUAUGUCCUUUAACUCUGUUCACAUUUGGAAAGUUAGGAUAGCAACAGUAAACAUUUGGUGACAGCUUGCUUUGGGUGCUAGUCUGCUGUAUCUCACAGCAUCCCAUUCUGUUGUGUCACAGAGACAGCCAAAUCUCCUGGUUAAUUAGAAGUUAAUUUCUUACUGCAAAGUUAUCCUGUCUAUGUAAGUCAAGGCUGAAGGAGACUUUAAAGAAACCAAUGAACAUUUAGAGAAUUGUGUGUGUUCCCUGCAAUAAGUGGAGGGACUCUGGUUUUUGUCAAAGGGAUGCUGGAACGGUGAGAUGGAGAGUUCUACUUCCAGUUAUUAAUUACCCAGCAUGUUCGGCAGAAUCAGUCAAGUUUGCGUAGAAUGGUAAGAUUCUUGCUUUACUUUGCCUUUAUGAAGACAGAAAUGGUAAUUACAUAUGAAAAAUUGAUCUCUGUUGGCAUGGUUAGCUAGUUUAUUAAUUAGUUUUAAUGCUAUAAAUAAUUUGAUCACAAUUUUAAGGUUGGUACCACCUG